GGAAGCAGCUCAGGGACUUGUUUUCCAGUCUCCUGGCUUGAUUGCUUUGUCAAUAUACCCCUUCUCAGCUGCAAGAAUCCUGAAGUGGGUUGCCAUUCCCUUCUCCAGGGGAUCUUGCUGACCCAGGAAUCGAACCGAGGUCUCCUGCAUUGCAGGCAGAUUCUUUACCAUCUGAGCCACCAGGGAAGCCCCAUGUGAUACUGUAGCUCUCCUGUUUUGGUUCCUCUGGUAUACUGCCAAAUAGAGAAUGUAAUGGUCCCUUUAAAAAAUAGCAAAGGAAACAUGGUCAAAAGCAUUCUCAAGGCCAUGUGGAGACCUCAGCAGAUGAUGCAGUGACUCUACCCAGAACUUUUUGUUGUUGUUCAGUCGCUCAGUCAUGUCUGACUCUUCUUGACCC
ensembl:lncRNA